UUCCACAAUGGCUGCUUUAGCUCUGAUAUGUCUGGUAUUCUUGGGUUCAGUGAUAACCAGAACUAUUAGACAUAUCGAAGAUCGAGCGUGCCACCACUACUGCUG
rnacentral:pre_miRNA from 1 species